UUGUUUAUAAGUGACGCUAUCUCGCUGCACCGCUCCCUCAGUUUCAUUAUCUCUUCCUCCCAGAUGGGCCGUAUCUUCCCUCCUUCACUCGGCUUCCCUCUGCGCUGGCCUCAGCUUCUUCCCUUCCUCUUCCCAGCUCUCCAUCCUUCAUCCUUGCUCCCCGGUGAUGGUCCCACCAGGUACUCCUCAGCAACGCUAGAAACUGCUCCGGUCCUUGCACGGUCUCUCCAUGCCGCGAUCCGGGCGCUGCUGUGCUUCCUGCUUCCUUGAACCUCAUUUUUGUUUCGUUGAACCGCAUUUUCUUUUUUCCAGGGGGAGUUUAACUGCAUGGAACUGAACCCCACAGAAUGUUGUACAUCAACAUGUCCCUCUAAGGCAGCAUCUGCACAGAUGUAGCAUCACUGGUUGUGUCCAGUUCAGGGUCCUCCCAACACAAGGACAUGAAGCUGUUGGAGUGCCAAGAAGAUCAGAAGACUGGAGCAUCUCCCCUAUGGGGAAAGGCUCCUGGUUUUCACCUUCAUGUGUGCCGCAGGCUGGCCUCAUGCUCUUCCUGCUCUAAGUUAAACAGCUGCUACUGGUGCUUCCACUAAAGAUCUUCUGACCUGUCUCUGCCUUCCACAAAGAGGAGGCCGUUCUGAUGAGCAACCCCAUCUCCAUCAGCUGCUCCUCACCAGCCCUGUUCUCCAGACCCUUCCCCAGCUUUGUUGCCCUUCUCUGAACCUGCUCUGGCCUCUCGAUGUCCUUCUUGGAGUGAGGGGCCCAAAAGUGAACCCAGAACUCAAGGUGAUGCCUAACUAGUGCUGAGUACAGGCAGACAAUAGCUCUCCUGGGCCUACUGGUCACACUAUCGCUGACCCAGGACAGGAUGCUGGUGGUCUCCUUGACCACCUGGGCAAACUAGCCUGAGCUAUCCAUAGAAUCUUGCAGGUAGGCUUCCCCAUAGACUAGCCCUUGGUGCUGGAUUUUCCUGCAGGACCAUGGAUGAACUUGAAGAACCUGUUUAAACCUGCCGUUCCCGCAGCGCCGCUGGACGCUGCUGCACGUGGUUUUACCAUUUCCUGGGUUUUGUGAGGGUGCAGUUGGAAGCUGCCACACAGUGUUGCAGAUUACUUGACCAAAAAGAGGUGGGGAUGAGAAUAGAUUGGAUAUUAGGAAAAAAAAUCAUUCCUGAAAGAGUGGUGAGGAGCUGGCACAGACUGCAGCCCAGGGAGGUGGUAGAGUCACCAUCCCUGGAGGUGUUAAAAAAAUGCACAGAGCUGGCACUUCAGGACAGGGUUUAGUGGUCAAAGUGGUAUUAGGUUGAUGGUUGAACUUGAUGAUCUUAGAGGUCUUUUCCAACCUUAAUGAUUCUAUGAAAGGUUCUAUGAAAGAAUCCACCAGCACAAUUACAGGGUUAUGCAAUCACCUUGUGCACAUGCCACAGGUUUGGAAUUCAAACCUGCUGCAAAUCCCCAGCAAGCCGUGGCUCUGGGAUUAGAAAAGAUUACACAGCAUAGAACUUGGUGGAGCACUGGGGAUUCCUGCACCGAGUCCUGUUAAAUUUAGGUUUUUUUCUGGAGGGAAGAGAGUCACUGUGGCAUUUCUGUGACUUGAUCCCUCAGCUAGGUUGGUCUACAAGGUGACCCUGAGUGCUGCUGAGCUGGCAGUGGGUCUGGGGAGAGCCAUCUCUGCCUGAGCCCAGCGCUUGCUUGGAGAAGAGCAGAGCGUUCCCAGCUGCAUCCCGGAAUAGCUCUGCUCUCUCUUCCCCUGGCUCAGGCUGUCACACUGUAUUUUAACUACAAAUCUGUUAUUCUGCCUGCUGGCUGCCAGAAUCACUUUUAAAAACAACCCAGCUCAGUAAUAGUGGAUUUUGGGUGGUUUUCUUCUCAGCAUUCUCUUCAGCUGUAGCUGAGAUUUCACCUGCAUGGCUGCAGCUCCAGGUGCUGUCCAGGAAUACAGAUGACCUCCACUCCUCCGACCAGAGCAAUGAUGUGACAAAUGUGAAGUACAAGGCACUGAGAAACUUAUGACAUCAGUUUUUAUGUUUUGAUUAGGGUGGUUUCUACAUCCUCAUGUUCUCUGUGCACAGAAGGAGGGCACAUCUCCUCUCUACAGACACAGGAACCAAGCACUAUUCCAGUUUAUUGUUGUGCUGGUGGGACAAAGCCUUUAAUGAAACACAAAGAAAUUAUGCAGGGCAGUUUGACCCCUGCUGUGUUAGUGUGGUGACUGAGUCCCUGCCCAUGGCAGCGGGGUUGGAGUAAAUGAUCUCUAAGGUCCCUUCCAACCUAAACUAUUCUGUGAUUCUAUGGUGACUGAAACUGAGGUGUCUCUAGUCAAGCUGGAUGGGGGUCUGAGCAACCUGAUCCAGCUGAAGAUGAGCAGAGCACUGGUUCUGCUGCUCAGUGAUGUCUUUAACAUUUGUGUUGAUUAACAACUGAAUUCAUUCUACACCACUGGCUGCUGCACUUCACACUUUGUGAUUUAAAGGCUUUAUUUAUACUGCACAAAGAGAAGACUCAAGUAAAAGCCCCAGCAAUAGUUAAAGCUUCAGAAUGGAGUACAAUGGUGUUCUGUGAUAGGACAGGGGGCAAUGGAUGCAAACUGGAACACAGGAAGUUCCACCUCAACAUGAAGAGAAACUUCUUUACUGUGAGGGUGCUGGAGCCCUGGAGCAGGCUGCCCAGAGAGGAGUCUCCUUCUCUAGACAACUUCAAGAUCCACCUGGAUGUGUUCCUGUGUGACUUGUCCUUAGGUGAUCCUGCUUUGGCAGGGGAGUUGAACUCGGUAUCUGGAAGUGCCUUCCAAGCCCUACCAUGCUAUGACUCUCUGAUUCUACUUAAAAGUCAUGAAAAGAUGACCUAAAUUUUAGCAUUCAUCACUCUCAGAGGAUAUCCAUGGAGGGCUUGAUGCUUGGGCUGCCCAGAGAGGUGGUUAGUCACCAACCCUGGAUGUGUUUAAAGGUCGUUUGAAUGUGGUGCAUGGGGUUUGGGGUUUGGGGGUAAAGCUUGUAGAGUAGGGUUAUUGGUUGGACUUUUCCAAGCCUGAAUGUUUCUGUGACUCUGUGUGAUUCUUGCUGAGUAUGUGUGACAUCUGCAGGGCUGUCAGUGGCCCAUGAUCAUGAAAAGAGCAGGGACCUCCUUCCAAACACUCCUGUUUAAAGCUGGGUGUGGAUGCAUGUUCCUGCCAUGCACCCAGCUCUGUUUCCAGGGAACAGGGUGGGAGGAAAAUGUUGCUAAAAACCUUGAUGCAUAAGGCUUUAACAGAGAUGGUUAUCUUGUCUCCUCAUCAUCUUUACCUGUGUUGCUGCCUGGACAACCAUGGUGUAUUAUGGAAAUAAAAUGUCAAGUCACUCAGGUUUGGGUUCUGCUGUUUGUUAAAUACCUUUUGAUGGAGGUAGGAGGAAAUGUGUAUGUCUGCAGUGAAGGACAAAUAUCAGCCCUGGGGUACAAACAGCACAGCAGACACUUGUUAAAAAGGGGAGCUGGGAGGCAAAACGGAGUGGUAUAUAAGAUGGAAUGAAAGAUCAUGGAGAGAGAAGUGAUACAGUCCACCAAAUAGAUGCAGUCAGGAUUUAGGAAUCACAGAAUCAUAGAAUGGCUUAAAUUGGAAGGGACCCUAGAACUCAUCUACUCCAACCUCCCCUCCGUGGGCAGGGACACCUCUCAAAUAGACCUUAUUUUUAAUGGGUGUUCUUUGUAGGAUGCUAAAAUCAUAGAGUCACAGAGUGGUUUGCAUUGGAAGGGUCCUUAAAGAUCAUAUAGUUUCAAACUCCUGUCAUGGGCAGGGAUACCUCCCACUAGACCAGGCUGCUCCAAGGAUGAUCCAAGGGCUGGAGCACUUCUGCUGUGAGGAGAGGCUGAAGGAGCUGGGGUUGUUCAGCCUGGAGAAGACAAGACUCUGGGGGAACCUUAGACCUGCCUUCCAAUAUCUGAAGGGAGCCUACAGGAAAGCUGGAGAUGGAAUUUUCAUAAGGGUGGCCAGAGACAGGACAAGAGGGAAUGGUUUUAAGCUGAGGGAGAGUAGAUUUAGACUGGAUCUUAGGAAGAAGUUCUCCAGUACCAGGGUGGUGAGACCCUGGAAUUGGUUUCACAGAGAGAUUGUGGAUGUGUUCUCCCUGGAGGUGUUCAAGACCAGGUUGGAUGAGGCCUUGAGCAGCUGAAUCUAGUUGAGAGGUGUCCCUGCCCAUGACAGGGAGGUCAGAGUGGAUUACCUCUGAGGUUCCUUCCAGCCUAAGCCAUUCUGUGAUUCUAUGAUUUUGGAGGCUCUGCAUGGUUCAUACCCAUGAGAGCUGCUCAGAUGUGUUGUUUUGGAGAUGUAGACAUAUGAGUUGUUUGCCAAAGGAUCUCUCAAAACCUGAAUUUGGUGCAGCCUGAGUUGGCUGCUGUGCUACGAUGUGUGGUCCCCUCUUACCACCACAUGUCUGAAACUGUCCCACAUAAUUUCUGUUGAUUUGGUAAAUAAUUUCCUUGAAUACUCAGAAAACAAAACAAGGAGCUGAAAUUGCCUCUUGGUAUUUCUUCAGUCCAAACAAACAAAGAAACAAACAAACAAACAAGCAGAUUGUGUGGCUUAUGUGUCUAGUCAAAACAUCUCCAUUAUUAAUAUUAAGCCCCUGGGUGCCUGGAGAACCAGCUUCUGAAUGAGCUACAAAGCU